rnacentral:rRNA from 1 species
UACAGAGGGUGCAAGCGUUGCUCGGAUUUACUGGGCGUAAAGCGUACGCAGACGGUGAGAAAGGUCGGAUGUGAAAGCCCCGGGCUCAACCCGGGAACUGCAUCCGAAACCAUCUCGCUCGAGUAUGGGAGAGGGAAGCGGAAUUCCUGUGUAGAGGUGAAAUUCGUAGAUAUCAGGAGGAACAUCUGCGGCGAAGGCGGCU